rnacentral:lncRNA from 1 species
GUGAGGCGAUGUCAGCUGGAGGAGGAGGAAUGGAGAAACUACAGGACCCUAUCUGGAUCCAGGAAGAGCCAGGAGUGCGGGAACAAGGCAGCCCAACCUAAUAAGGUGAAUUUCCAGCUUCCCUGGGAGGGUUGAGAUGGAAACUAUGGACCUGUCUUGUUUGGACUGAAGUGGUACCACACAGGGGCUGCCUGGCCAUGGACCACAGCGUUCCCAUCUCCCCGUCAGCCACAGACACAAAGAGGAGCUGGAGUUCUGCACGCCAGAUGUCACUGUACUGCGGUGAACAGGAAAGGGGACUAAUUCCCGGGUCACCCGGCCCAAAUCCUGAAUCAUCUUUCCCGCCAGCUGGAGCCGCAGUGUCUACUGAAGAUGCAAAAACUGAGGCUCCUUGACAGCUGCAGUCCUUUAAAGCCAUGGUGCAGCUACCCAGAGGUGGAAUGCAUCCUUGGCAAUCCGUCUCACGAAGCCCUCCAGGUGACUGCAAAGUGCCGGAGUGACGACCCCAUGGCUGGGGUUGUGCAGUGGUGACCAUUUUCCAGAAAGGAAAACCUUCCGUUAAAAGGUGAGACGUACCACUGUGAAAGGCUGAUAGAGAAAAACACAACUGAUGGCCUUCUAGGAGCAUCCUGGGGAUUUCUGAGCAUAGACGAAGGCGGGAAGGGUUUUAUAACUCCGCAGAAUCUGCAUAUUUAGACAGGGUGCAUCAGCCUUUAUUGAGA